GUGGGGAAUUUUGGACAAUGGGCGCAAGCCUGAUCCAGCAAUGCCGCGUGCAGGAAGAAGGCCUUCGGGUUGUAAACUGCUUUUGUACGGAACGAAACGGUCCUGGUUAAUACCUGGGGCUAAUGACGGUACCGUAAGAAUAAGCACCGGCUAACUACGUGCCAGCAGCCGCGGUAAUACGUAGGGUGCAAGCGUUAAUCGGAAUUACUGGGCGUAAAGCGUGCGCAGGCGGUUUUGUAAGACAGGCGUGAAAUCCCCGGGCUCAACCUGGGAAUUGCGCUUGGGACUGCAAGGCUGGAGUGCGGCAGAGGGGGAUGGAAUUCCGCGUGUAGCAGUGAAAUGCGUAGAUAUGCGGAGGAACACCGAUGGCGAAGGCAAUCCCCUGGGCCUGCACUGACGCUCAUGCACGAAAGCGUGGGGAGCAAACAGGAUUAGAAACCCUAGUAGUCC
rnacentral:rRNA from 1 species